AAUGGGGCCAGUAGAGAAGAAGCUACACUUGGCAUAUGCGAAACCAUGUGAUCCAUAUGUAGAGUCCCUAUUUGACGACGAUCUUGUGAUUAGAUCUAAAUCCAACUGGCUGGUUUCAUGAAUGAGCUACGUAUCUCGUCAUGGUUCAUGUGACUUUUGUUUUUCGCUUUUUAUUUAUUUUUUGGUUUCUUUCCCUCAUGAUUGAGA